ensembl:snoRNA
AUGGACAUUUCACUGACCUCUCUUUUGUCUAUGUGAGCAGUGUUAUUUCUUAUGUGCUAUACAAAUAGUUGAAGGUUAAUUAGCAGAAUAAGUAUAAAUAGUAAUGCUGCCAGUCCUUCAGACAAAA